AAAUGAUCUCAGUAAGAUAUGAGAAGAAAAUACCCAUUUAACCCUUUUCUCUGCAGCAACCCAAACAUGGUACGGCACUGAAUUGUUUUGUAUGUGUCUGUUUCUCCUCUCCUCUCUGGCUCCCCAUCUUCACUUUGGAAAAGUGGAAUAUCUGUCACCACACAUGGCGGUGUCCUUGAUGCUAUCUUGGGGCAAAGAAGCCAGGCCGGCUUGUGGCUGCAAUAGGAAUAGAAGGGACUCCCCUACUCCCAUCCCACCCUACCCCCUCAUCCUGCCUCAACCAGUCAUGCAGAGAGAUGCUGAAUGCCUGCCUACUCUCAGAGGAAUGAUUUUUGGAGGUUUCAUGAAAAUAAUUCAAUCAAUCAAGUUCAACAAAUAUUCAUUGAGC
rnacentral:lncRNA from 13 species